rnacentral:rRNA from 1 species
CCUACGGGAGGCAGCAGUGGGGAAUUUUGGACAAUGGGCGCAAGCCUGAUCCAGCCAUGCCGCGUGCGGGAAGAAGGCCUUCGGGUUGUAAACCGCUUUUGUCAGGGAAGAAAUCUUCUGGGCUAAUACCCUGGGAGGAUGACGGUACCUGAAGAAUAAGCACCGGCUAACUACGUGCCAGCAGCCGCGGUAAUACGUAGGGUGCAAGCGUUAAUCGGAAUUACUGGGCGUAAAGCGUGCGCAGGCGGUUAUGCAAGACAGAGGUGAAAUCCCCGGGCUCAACCUGGGAACUGCCUUUGUGACUGCAUAGCUAGAGUACGGCAGAGGGGGAUGGAAUUCCGCGUGUAGCAGUGAAAUGCGUAGAUAUGCGGAGGAACACCGAUGGCGAAGGCAAUCCCCUGGGCCUGUACUGACGCUCAUGCACGAAAGCGUGGGGAGCAAACAGGAUUAGAUACCCUGGUAGUCCACGCCCUAAACGAUGUCAACUGGUUGUUGGGAGGGUUUCUUCUCAGUAACGUAGCUAACGCGUGAAGUUGACCGCCUGGGGAGUACGGCCGCAAGGUUGAAACUCAAAUGAAUUGACGG